ACAAUGUUGACAUGGUUUGAAAAGAGUGACACACCCAGCAGACAUGGAGCAGCACCCGACUAAUGGACGAUUAGAGUGGAAAUCAGGACCUGUACACCGGGAGGUGCAGAACCAGAGCCUGCAGGAUUAUGAAGGAUCCUCACCACCCAAACAACGGACUGUUCCAGCUGCUGCGGUCAGGCAAGCGCCUCCUUAGCCAUGCUGCCACGCUGCCACGCUGCCACACUGCCAAAACAGAGAGACUGACACAGAGUUUCUUUCUCCAGGACAUCAGUACUGUGAACUCUGACCUUUCCAGGGCGCCCACCACGCGCAACACGCUGCCCCUCUUACCCACACACGUUCACACACACACACACACACACACACACACACACACACACACACACACACACACACACACAUA